rnacentral:rRNA from 1 species
CCUACGGGUGGCAGCAGUGGGGAAUAUUGGGCAAUGGGCGCAAGCCUGACCCAGCAACGCCGCGUGAAGGAAGACGGCUCUCGGGUUGUAAACUUCUUUUGUCCGGGAAGAGUAGAAGACGGUACCUGACGAAUAAGCCACGGCUAACUACUUGCCAGCAGCCCCGGUAAUACGGAGGUGGCCAGCGUUGUCCGGAUUUACUGGGUGUAACGGGCGUGUAGCCGGGUUGACAAGUCAGAUGUGAAAUCCUGCGGCUUAACCGCAGAACUGCAGUUGAAACUGUUGAUCUUGAGUACGGGAGAGGCAGAUGGAAUUCCUGGUGUAGCGGUGAAAUGCGUAGAUAUUAGGAGGAACACCAGUGGCGAAGGCGGUCUGCUGGACCGCAACUGACGGUGAGGCGCGAAAGCGUGGGGAGCAAACAGGAUUAGAUACCCUGGUAGUC